AAAGAAGUGAAAUCAUUAGAAAGGUGUUCUAAGCAUUUUUCUAGCCUGAAGGGGAGCAGCAAUCAUCAGCAAUCUAAUAAUAAAACUAGUAUUCAAGAGAUCUGAUAUUGGUAACAGUAUGCUGAAAGUAAACUUACGUGAUAACCCAGCUUCUCACAAUAGGAGUGGAAGUGUGACCAGGUUGAUUUGCCAGAAUAUGCUGACACAGACAGAAAGAAGAAGACAAGACCUACAUCUCUUCGAGGAAACAAUUAGUGAUUAGGCCUCUAUUGCUGAUUUGUAUCUGAAUCGGGUGAAGAAUGUAGGGAAGAUAAUUUGUCUCAUUGGUUUUUCUGUUUUUAAAUUUUUAUUAAAACACUCAAUGAUUUACUUAUGUGUUUUCUAUUCUGUUCAAUAAGAUUGCUCAGUUUUCUCUAGGUGCAUAGUGUUUUAAACAAUUUGGCAGUUCUUCAUGGUAGAGCUUAUUCUUAUUAAGUGCUUUUGCCAGUUAUCAAAUAAAUGAUAUGCUUCUUAAAGUAAUGUCCUUUGGAGGUCAAAUGGUUGUCAAACGAAUUUUUUUAUCGUCUAAAUAAUAUGUCCUCAUAAUUUAAAAUUUAUUUCAGUGGCUAACCACAAAAUCACAUUAAUUGAUUAUUUCAAUAUUUGCAGUGCUUGAAAACAAUUGCUAUAGAGAAUGUCAAUCAAACACAAUAUUCUUUGGAAGAAUUAUAAGG
rnacentral:lncRNA from 10 species